AGGAGAUAUGCAGUGGACUAGUCUUAGCACUCAGCUUUUAGCAUUUGUUACCAGCACACCAGGCAAUCCAGCAGCACUGUUGUGCAGGCAUCAGCACUGGAGUCUCUCCUCUUCCUUGAGUCUCUGGUUUUAAAAAACGUGAUUAUGCAGGAGUAGUAUUUUCAGCAUCUUUUUACAUAGAAAGAUGGAAUGUGUCUGGCACAAGGAUUUAAAGUUGUUGCUGACUUUGUGUUCUGCUGUACCACAACACUUGGUAGAGGAAAAGGAAAGCAAAUGUGCAGAGUUGCCAGGAUACGGAUUUAUUCAGAACUUAAGCAGCCUGGCACUUCUACUGUGAAGUUCCUUCCCCCUUGCCUCACUCCCUCGUGCUCCAGCAGCAGGCAGAUAGACAAGAAAUAGGAAAUGACCAGCUCCUGUUUCACACUGUAGCAUUCAUUUUCAUUUUAUUCUGAGCCUUUCACAGCCCUGUAGACCAACAUGACUGUUUUCAAAUGACAGCUAUGAAAUGGGUGCAACAUGGAAAAUUCAAGUGGUUAGUUUACUUAGAAGCGUGUGAUCCUUCUUUCCUGCUAUUCCUGCUUCCAAAUGCUAUUUUUUUUAGUUCAAAAGUAGCAUUUGGGGAGAGGGAAAAUAAAUUAAUUUACUAGCCUGUUUUUCUUGUGAAAUAAUAGAUAAUAACUGUUUGCAAACACUUUUACCGUAGAGUAAGUACUGGACAGAAUUGGUGUUUCCCAUCCAAACCUGCUGCUUUGGGUCAACAUUUGAUAUAUGUCUUUAAAAGGGCAAGAAACAACUUCAUGUUUUAUAAAACUCUACAGCUCUUAGAAGCUAUCCACACACUCAGAGAGCGAAGAAGAGUUUUUGAGGACAAAAGAGACAGGAACUCAUACAUGUGUUCCCAAAUUAAAGGGAAAUCUGAUGUAUAGAAGACCAUCCAACAGAACAGCAGAUUUCUGAAUUUGAUAGAGCAGUUCAGUAGUGAUGAGAAAAACGGGAACCUGGAGAGAUACUGAAGGAUCAUGGAUUAUCAGAAGACACUUGAUCUGCAGUGCUGGAGAGAUGAGAGACUCAUUAACCAUGUUAUAAGCUGGAGGGGAGAAAAUGUUGUCAAGUAGUGUUUGCAUGAUUUUCAGUGGCAUUAAUUCAUCCCUUGAAUAUGCUUUCUUUUUUAAGAAAUGAUGAAUUCCACUAAAGGUGAAAUGAAAGAAAUCAGUCCAAUUCAGAGAAGGCCCACUCUAGCUCUGUAUACCAAACAGAAAAUUCCAAAAUAACCUCAGCUGUAAGGUAGUAUGGAUGUUGUAGGCCAAAAGAUUUGAUUAUUGGGUUUGCAUAUAUUAGAAGAAAACACAUUUUCAAAAUAUGUUAGCAUUGCACACUAUGCAUCCAGUAUAUGAGCCCAUGAAUCUUCCAUCUUGAUUGCACAAUAAUAGACGGAAUAGUAUCCAUUUCUGGUAAUACACUCACAGUCACAGGACAAAGAUUUGUACUUGCUCAGCUCAGGGAACCCAUCUGGUCAAACUUCAUUGUUACUACAGCAGUAUGUUUAAUUUUGAAAGCCCUGGGUGAUAUGAAAGAAUUAAUUUCAUUGUAAACCUCAAUGACCACUUCAUCAGUGGUAGGUAUUCCCACCUCUACUUGAUAAGCAACUGACUUCUAGCUGCAAAUAGCAACAGACAGCAACACUCUUUUGGAUAAUAAAUAGCAACAAACAGCACUUGA